rnacentral:lncRNA from 1 species
GCCCAAGGUUGUGUAGUAAACAGCAGCAGAGUCACUAAAACUCUGUUUUAAUGACUUAAGGUCAUUUGCUGCCCCAUGACACCGCUUGAUCUGGAAAGUGUCUUCGCCUAGGCAGUUUGCCAGAAGAGGGAGAGAAGAAAUUAAAGAGACCAGAUAACUUUGCAUUUGGUAAAGAACAAAUCUGUCUCUCUUAGGCAGGAGUGAAGAGGAUGAGAUUCUUGUGUGUGGCUGGAGUGCAGUGGCACGAUCUGGAUUCACUGCAUCCUCGACCUCCCAAGCUCAAGCGAUCCUCUCACCUCAGCAUCUGAGUAGCUGGGACAACAGGCGCCACACCACCACACCCGGAAUUUAGUGUCAAGUGGGAAGAUGCAGAAUGUUCGUAAUUAACUACAGUAUUACAUGAAAUAGAAUGUGUUACCUGCCAAAAUAGAGAUCUACAGUGCAAAGAGACAAAAAGGCAUUGAUAAACCUUGGCUGUUGCUUCAAAUAUAAAUGAUUCUAGAACAUCAGAAUAACUAGUAACAGUAAGAUUACUCAAAUAAGCAAAUAAAAUCAAAGAAGCUCCUGGUUCCUGGCACACAGCUCCUAACACCAUUGGAAUCUCUGGAGUGAAAAGAGUGUCUUUUCAAUGUCACAUCCUCAAGAGAAGGAAACACGGGCAAGCUGUGGGACAAGCUCAACAUCAGGGCUGCACUUCUUGGUUUGUGUUGACUUAUUGUUGAUCUCAACGUUGGUGUCUGGAUUUUGAAGCUCCAUGCUCUAAAGAAACAUGAAGCUGAGGGUCCUACAAAGAUGUAAGUGGGGAGAAACAGAUGUCUGUAAAAUGGCGAAAUGUGCUGGUGUAUUUAAACACCAAAACUGUUGUGGAACAAGGACUGGAUGUGAAAAGAAGACUUGUUUUCUAAUGCCUGGCCUUGCCACCGUCCAACCAUGCACUUUAACCUCUCUAGGCUUCCUUAUCUAUGAAACAGAUAAUAUCUCUGUAAAAGAUUCUUGAAACAAUUAAAUGAGAUAAUUUGUAAACUCUCAAGCACCGUGCAAAUGUGAGAUACUGUUGUUGGAAAGCCAUGCUGUGACAAUGAAUACCUGGAGUACUGAAGAAUUAUCCCGUACAGUUGUGGAGUUUGUGCACUGCACAAGGGGUUGCAGCCCGGAAGGCCAACGGGGCCUUGCAAAACGGCUUUGGCUCAGGCUGGAUUCCUCAGGAAGGGGAGCACUUUCUUCUCAUACUAAGGCAUCGUCUGCUUGUAAAAUCAUGUACCCACCUGGAGGAGGUAUCUUUCUUCAUUCAUUCUUAUAAAGGUGCUGGAUUGGUUUUA